rnacentral:rRNA from 1 species
CAAUAGCGUAUAUUAAAGUUGUUGCGGUUAAAAAGCUCGUAGUUGGAUUUCUGCUGAGAACGACCGGUCCGCCCUUUGGGUGUGUAUCUGGCUCUUUCUUGGCAUCUUCUUGGUGAACGUUGCUGCACUUGACUGUGUGGAGCGCUACCCAGGACUUUUACUUUGAGGAAAUUAGAGUGUUUCAAGCAGGCAUACGCCUUGAAUACAUUAGCAUGGAAUAAUAAGAUAGGACCUCGGUUCUAUUUUGUUGGUUUCUAGAGCUGAGGUAAUGAUUAAUAGGGAUAGUUGGGGGUAUUCAUAUUUAGCAGUCAGAGGUGAAAUUCUUGGAUUUGCUAAAGAUGAACAACUGCGAAAGCAUUUACCAAGGAUGUUUUCAUUAA